rnacentral:lncRNA from 1 species
CCGGAUCAUAUCCAGCUUACCGUGAGAUGGUUUUGAACCAAUAUUCUAAUCUCCACAAAGCCGAUUUCAUUUUUGCCAAUUCCUUCUACAAGUUAGAGCAACAGGUACGUACGCGUGCAGGUGUCCUCCUACAUCCCUUCAUUAUUCAUUAUAUAAUUAUAUUAGCUAAGCUAACGUAUUAUGUAACUUACAGGUUGUGGACUCGAUGUCAAAAGUUUGUCGUAUGUUAACAAUAGGGCCAACCAUUCCAUAUACUUACUUAGACAAUCGCAUCGAAGACGACAAGGAAUAUGGGGUUCAGCUGUAUAAGAUAGACUCUGUUUGCAGCGACUGGCUCAACAGCAAGCCACCAGGAUCCGUGAUAUACGUGGCCUUUGGAAGUAUGGCCAAUCUAAGCCACAAGCAAAUG